GGAGACCUUGUUACGACUUUUACUUCCUCUAAAUGACCGAGUUUGACCAACUUUCCGGCCCUGGGUGGUCGUUGCCGACCUCCCUGGGCCAGUCCGAAGGCCUCACUGAGCCAUUCAAUCGGUAGUAGCGAC
rnacentral:rRNA from 1 species